GGAUAUUGGUGCUUCAGUGUUUAACCCUGUGCAAAGAGUUUUACCCUUAUCUGAUGAAGCUUUUCUUGAUGGUGCUACCUUCAUAUGGCAUCAGGUUUGGCCCAACACAUCAACGGAGCUGCCUCUCCUUGAAGCUGAGUACGCUUGACUUGUUGCUGAGAUGAAUGACAACCAGGAACGAAAGGAUUAA